rnacentral:rRNA from 1 species
AUGAAAGGGCGCGCGGUGAAGCUGCGGGAGGCGCACAAGGCGGGCUCGGGCUCCCCGGCCUUCUGCUCCGUCGCCUGGGCCCCCGGGGGGCAGCACGUCGUCACCGCGUCCGCCGCCGACGUCGCCAUCCUGAUCCACGACGCCGCCGCGGUGAGCGCCGGGGGCACCGGGGCCCGGGGCUCCGGUUCAGCGGCGGCCGUCGCCACGAUCCGGCUCCACAAGGACGGCGUGACGGCCGUCGCCCUCGCGCCGGCCUCCGGCGGCUCGCUGGCGUCCGGUUCCAUCGACCACUCCGUCAAGUUCUACUCCUUCCCAGACGGCACGUUCCAGAGCAACGUUGCUCGGUUCACCCUCCCGAUCCGGUCACUGGCGUUCAACAAGAAGGGCGCCCUUUUGGCCGCGGCCGGCGAUGACGACGGCAUCAAGCUGAUUGCUACGGUCGACAACACGAUCUCCAAGGUGCUCAAAGGCCACAAGGGCUCGGUGACCGGGCUGGCUUUUGACCCCAAAAAUGAUUAUCUGGCAUCAAUCGACAGCUUUGGCACGGUCAUCUUUUGGGAUCUUUGUUUGGGCAGCGAGGCACGAAGCUUGACUCGUGUCGCCCCGACAUUCGGUUCCGACCACUCGGUGAAGAAUACCCUGUGUUGGAGUCCCGAUGGGCACACCCUUGCUGUUCCUGGGCUGAGGAAUAAUGUGGUCAUGUAUGACAGGGACACAGCGGAGGAGGUAUUCACACUGAAAGGAGAACACGAGCAGCCAAUAUGCAGCCUUUGCUGGUCCCCGAAUGGGAGGUACCUGGCAACUGCCGGCCUGGAUAGGCAGGUGCUUGUCUGGGAUGUGAAGUCAAGGCAGGACAUUGAGAGGCAGAAGUUUGAUGAAAGCAUAUGUAGCAUGGCAUGGAAACCAGAGGAUAAUGCUAUAGUACUCAUUGAUGUAAUGGGUAAAUUUGGGAUUUGGGAAUCAGUGGUCCCUUCGACUAUGAAGUCGCCCACUGAGGGUGCGCCUGAGCUAAACCCGCCGAGGGUUCCAUUGUUUGAUGACGAAGAUGAAGAAGAAAAGCCAAGCACAUCGGCUGGUUUUGAUGAUGAGAUCGAUGAAAGUCUUGGUGAUUCAGCACCUUUCAACCACAAGCGGUCAAGGAGAAAGGCCACAUUUGAUGACCACGUGAAUGGAGAUAGUGAAGAAGAGGAUAUGAUACACGAGAUGCAGUCAGGAAAGAGAACAAAAGGUAGGCACAAAGAUAACAAAGAAGGUGCUAGGAAGGCAAUGGAUGAUUCAGCAACUUCUGGAAGGUUGGUUACAGCAAGAAUGCAAGCUGCCUUCCAGCCUGGGUCAACGCCAUCUCAUCCUGGCAAGCGAAAUUUCCUUGCUUACAACAUGCUUGGAAGUAUUACUACCAUUGAAAAUGAGGGGCACUCACAUGUAGAGGUUGACUUUCACGACACAGGAAGAGGCCCCAGAGUCCCUUCCAUGACCGACUAUUUUGGUUUCACCAUGGCUGCACUGAAUGAAUCAGGAAGUGUGUUUGCAAAUCCAUGCAAGGGCGACAACAAUAUGAGCACUCUUAUGUACCGCCCCUUCAGCAGCUGGGCUGGUAACAGUGAGUGGUCAAUGAGGUUUGAGGGAGAAGAAGUGAAGUCUGUGGCUCUUGGUGCUGGAUGGGUUGCUGCAGUCACAAGUUUAAAUUUUUUGCGCAUCUUCACCGAAGGGGGCUUGCAGAUGCAUAUCCUUUCAGUUAGUGGUCCAGUGGUUACAGUGACAGGUCAUGGGGAUCAGCUAGCAAUUGUGACACAUGCUUCAGAUUGCCUACCCUCAGGAGAUCAGGUCCUAGAUGUUAAGGUAUUCAACAUAACUGAGGGGGCACAAUCAAUGUCCGGUCGCCUUGUCUUGACUCCAUCCUCUCAACUAUCUUGGUUUGGUUUCAGUGAGAAUGGCCAACUUAGUUCAUAUGACUCCAAGGGAAUACUGAGGGUCUUUUCCGCUCAGUUUGGUGGGAGUUGGCUUCCUGUGUUUAGUUCAACCAAGGCAAGAAAAUCUGAAGAUGAAAGCCACUGGGUGGUGGGUUUAGAUGCUAAUAAUAUAUUCUGCAUUCUAUGCAAAUCCCCUGAAUGUUAUCCUCAGGUGAUGCCCAAGCCUGUUCUAACUAUACUUGAGCUGUCAUUUCCUCUUGCGUCAUCUGACCUUGGAGCCAAUAGUUUGGAAAACGAGUUCAUGACAAGGAAGUUGCAUCUCUCACAGAUCCAAAAGAAAAUAGAAGAAAUCGCCGCUCUGGAUCUGGACACAACUGCAUUUGAAGAUGAAGCAUUCAAUACAGAGGCUGCACUUGACCGGUGCAUCCUGAGACUCAUCUCUACCUGCUGCAAUGGUGAUAAACUAGUCCGAGCCACUGAGCUUGCAAAGUUACUGACGUUGGAGAAAUCAAUGAAGGGAGCAUUAACACUUGUUACACGCUUGAAACUUCCUAUAUUACAAGAGAAGUUCAGUUCAUUACUUGAGGAGAGAAUGUUAAACGAUGCAAGAGCUGCUGGAACAGUAAGUGUUUGCUUGAAUCCGGCCAGUACGAACCACUCACCAGCGCUCCAUACAAUCCAACCUGCUAAAAUUGUGCAAAAUGGAGGUAACUUGGAGGAGGCAUCCACACCGAACCAUUUUGCCCGACGAAGCAGUGCAGCUGGACCUAAGAAGGCAGAAUUAGAACAACCAAAUGAUGACACUGCAAAGGUUUCACCUGCGGUUACCCCUUUAGCCAAGAUACCCAAGAAAAAUGAUAACUCAGAAGGGAAAGCAAAAAGGGAGAGGGAUGGAACAGCUGAACAGAUUUUGAAAGGAGGCAUUGAUCAGGUUGGUGCUAAAAAUAAGGGCAGUGAAGACGGCAACCGAGGAGAGCCUCAGCGGCCACUUAACCCCUUUGCAAAAUCUUCAUCCAACAAAGAACAGUCAUCAUCCCUUUUGGAUUCCAUAAAAAAGAUGAAGGUUGAAAGUGAGAAAGUCGACAAAGCCAACAGCAAGAAGGUGAAAGUAUAA